CAGUUAUGAGAAUACCCUUUGGAUUAGGAACACAUCAACCCCCCUCAAGGCAAAACGUUCUCAAGUGGCAAAUGCUCCAGCAUUGUCAAGCAUUUCCAGUGGAACAGAUAGAGAUGAACAUAUGAGUGCACCGAAAAUUGAAACCCUUGAGCAGAGUAUGCAUGACAUGAGUAUUGUUGAAGAGGAGUUGAAUGAAAAUGCCUUCAAUGACCCCAUGAACAGUGUG